rnacentral:rRNA from 1 species
UUAAGCCAUGCAUGUGUCAGCAUCACCUUUUGUACAGUUAGGCUGCGGAUGGCUCAUUACAACAGUUGCCAUCUUGGCAACAAUUCUUGUUACAUGGAUAACUGUGGAAAUCCUUGGGCUAAUACAUGAUAUGAUUCUGACUCUCUUGGAAGGAGGUGUUCAUCAAUAUCAAAACCGGCCCAAGUUAUUCUUGGAUACUUGAGGAAACUUGAUGAAGUACUAGAUUGAAAGCUUUGGCUGACAAUGGGUUGCUUGAGCUUCUGACCUAUCAGCUCCUGACGCUAGGGUGCUGGCCCACCGUGGCAAUGACGGGUGGCGGAGAAUUAGGGUUUGAUUCCGGAGAGGGAGCCUGCCAAAUGGCUACCACAUCUAAGGAAGGCAGCAGGCGCGCAAAUUACCCAAGUCUGACACAGCGAGGUAGUGACAAGAAAUAACAAUAUGGGGCAUCCAUGUUCUGUAAUUGGAAUGAGCAUUGUUCAAAUUCCCUUGCAAGGAUCCAUUGGAGGGCAAGUCUGGUGCCAGCAGCCGCGGUAAUUCCAGCUCCAAUAGCGUAUAUUAAAGUUGUUGCGGUUGAAAAGCUCGUAGUUGGUCUUCUGUUGAGGACAACCAGUCCGCCCGCCGGGUGAGUAUCUGACUUGGUCUUGACAUCUCUUCGAGGACUAUUGCUGCACUUGACUGUGUGGCAUAUGACUUGAAGCUGCUACUUUGAGGAUAUUGGGGUGUUCCAAGCAGGCAAAAGCUUUUGAACACAAUAGCAUGGAAUAGUUAGUCAAACUCUUGCUCUUUCUUGCCGGUUUAGAGAGCUGGAGUGAGGGUCAAGAGGGAUAGUUGGGGGCAUCUGCACUUGGCUGUCAGAGGUGAAAUUCUUGGAUUUGCCAAAGACAAACAACUGCGAAAGCAUUUAUCCAAAAUGUCUUCAUUGAUCAAGAACGAAAGUUAGGGGAUCGAAGACGAUCAGAUACCGUCCUAGUCUUAACCAUAAACAAUGCCGACCAGAAAUUGGAGGUUGUCUUCUAUGGAUGUCUCCAGCACCUUGAGAGAAAUUAAAGUCUUUGGGUUCUGGGGGGAGUAUGAUCGCAAGGCUGAAACUUAAAGGAAUUGACGGAAGGGCACCACCAGGAGUGGAGCCUGCGGCUUAAUUUGACUCAACACGUGGAAACUUACCAGGCCCAGACACAAAAUUGAUUGACAGAUUGAGAGCUCUCUCAUGAUUCUGUGGGUGGUGGUGCAUGGCCGUUCUUAGUUGGUGGAGUGAUUUGUCAGGUUAAUUCCGUUAACGAACGAGACCUUGACUUGCUAAAUAGCCACGUGUAGCUCAUAUGCUUGGCGGGCGGCUUCUUAGAGGGACUUUGUGUUUCCAAAACGAGGAGGUUUGAGGCAAUAACAGGUCUGUGAUGCCCUUAGAUGUCUUGGGCUGCACGCGCGCUACACUGGCACAAGCAAUGUGUUCCUGCCUUGUCAGAAGUGGUGAGGUAACCUCUGGAACCAGUGCCGUGACGGGGAUAGACCGUUGCAACUGUUGAUCUUCAACGAGGAAUUCCUAGUAAGCAUGAGUCAUCAGCCCAUGUUGACUAUGUCCCUGCCCUUUGUACACACCGCCCGUCGCUCCUACCGAUUGAGUGAUCCGGUGAGCUAUUCGGCCUCUGCAGUCCUCAUUGCUGAGGACAGUGGAGAAAGAAUCGCAAAUCUUGCCACUUAGAGGAAGGAGAAGUCGUAACA